GACGAACGCUGGCGGCGUGCUUAACACAUGCCAGUCGAACGGAAAGGCUCCAGCUUGCUGGAGUACUCGAGUGGCGAACGGGUGAGUAACACGUGGGUAAUCUGCCCUGCACUCUGGGAUAAGCCUGGGAAACUGGGUCUAAUACUGGAUAUGACCUUUCUCCUCAUGGGGUUUGGUGGAAAGUUUUUCGGUGUAGGAUGAGCCCGCGGCCUAUCAGCUUGUUGGUGGGGUGAUGGCCUACCAAGGCGACGACGGGUAGCCGGCCUGAGAGGGUGAUCGGCCACAUUGGGACUGAGAUACGGCCCAGACUCCUACGGGAGGCAGCAGUGGGGAAUAUUGCACAAUGGGCGGAAGCCUGAUGCAGCGACGCCGCGUGAGGGAUGACGGCCUUCGGGUUGUAAACCUCUUUCAGCAGGGACGAAGCGUAAGUGACGGUACCUGCAGAAGAAGCACCGGCCAACUAUGUG
rnacentral:rRNA from 1 species